UACAGAGGAGCCAAGCGUUGUCCGGAUUUACUGGGCGUAAAGAGCGCGCAGGCGGUCGUUCAAGUCGGAUGUGAAAGCCCCCGGCUCAACUGGGGAGGGUCAUUCGAUACUGAUCGACUCGAAGGCAGGAGAGGGAAGCGGAAUUCCCGGUGUAGUGGUGAAAUGCGUAGAUAUCGGGAGGAACACCAGUGGCGAAGGCGGCUUCCUGGCCUGUUCUUGACGCUGAGGCGCGAAAGCUAGGGGAGCAAACGGG
rnacentral:rRNA from 1 species